GCUGGUGAGCGAGAUGGCUCAGUCGGUAGAGCAUGAGACUCUUAGUCUCAAGGUUGUCUGUUUGAGCCCCACAUUGGGCA